GUGCGUGUAGCUCAAUUGGAUAGAGCGUCGGCCUCCGAAGCCGAAGGUUGCAGGUUCGAGCCCCGCCACGCAUA
rnacentral:tRNA from 1 species